AGUGAACGCUGGCGGUAGGCCUAACACAUGCAAGUCGAACGGCAGCACAGGAGAGCUUGCUCUCUGGGUGGCGAGUGGCGGACGGGUGAGGAAUACAUCGGAAUCUACUCUGUCGUGGGGGAUAACGUAGGGAAACUUACGCUAAUACCGCAUACGACCUACGGGUGAAAGCAGGGGACCUUCGGGCCUUGCGCGAUUGAAUGAGCCGAUGUCGGAUUAGCUAGUUGGCGGGGUAAAGGCCCACCAAGGCGACGAUCCGUAGCUGGUCUGAGAGGAUGAUCAGCAACCAUGGAACGGAGACACGGGCCAGACUCCUACGGGAGGCAGCAGUGGGGAAUAUUGGACAAUGGGCGCAAGCCUGAUCCAGCCAUACCGCGUGGGUGAAGAAGGCCUUCGGGUUGUAAAGCCCUUUUGUUGGGAAGGAAAUCCAGCUGGCUAAUACCCGGUUGGGAUGACGGUACCCAAAGAAUAAGCACCGGCUAACUUCGUGCCAGCCGCCGCGGUAA
rnacentral:rRNA from 1 species